rnacentral:rRNA from 1 species
GUCUUUUUGAUUAUAAUAUAAGGUUUGAUCUGCCCAUUGAUUAUUUUAAAGGCCGCAGUAUUUUGACUGUGCGAAGGUAGCAUAAUAAUUAGUUUUUUAAUUGGAAGCUAGAAUGAAUGAUUUGAUGAAAAAAAUACUGUCUCUAUAUUAUAAAAUAAAAAUUUAUUUUUAAGUUAAAAAGCUUAAAUUUUAUUAAAAGACGAGAAGACCCUAUAGAGUUUUAUAUAAUUAGAUUAAAUUUAUUUAUUUUUAUUUAUUUAUUUUAUUAAAUUAUAUUUUAUUGGGGUGAUAUAAAAGUUUAUUAAACCUUUUUUUUUAAUUUAACAAUAAUAAUUGAAUUAUUGAUCCUUUAAUAGAUUAAUAGAUUAAAUUACCUUAGGGAUAACAGCGUAAUUUUUUUGGGGAGUUCAUAUCUAUAAAAAAGUUUG